ACUCCUACGGGAGGCAGCAGUGGGGAAUAUUGCACAAUGGGGGAAACCCUGAUGCAGCCAUGCCGCGUGUGUGAAGAAGGCCUUCGGGUUGUAAAGCACUUUCAGUAGGGAGGAAGGUAGUGUAGUUAACACCUGCAUUAUUUGACGUUACCUACAGAAGAAGCACCGGCUAACUCCGUGCCAGCAGCCGCGGUAAUACGGAGGGUGCGAGCGUUAAUCGGAAUUACUGGGCGUAAAGCGCAUGCAGGCGGCCUGUUAAGUCAGAUGUGAAAGCCCGGGGCUUAACCUCGGAAUUGCAUUUGAAACUGGCAGGCUAGAGUCUUGUAGAGGGGUUAGAAUUUCGAGGUGUAGCGGUGAAAUGCGUAGAGAUCUGAAGGAAUACCAGUGGCGAAGGCGGCCCCUGGACAAAGACUGACGCUCAGAUGCGAAAGCGUGGGAGCAAACAGGAUUAGAUACCCCGUGGUAGACUGUCA
rnacentral:rRNA from 1 species